CAAAAUUGGUUAAUUCCUGUAUAUGUUUGCAAACUAGCAGUUGUCAUAAAUUAACCAAACGCCAAAUUCCCGACAAGACAAUUAACAUUAUUUGAAAAAAAGUAGUAAUAGGGCCCCAUCAGGACACAGCACUUUUUAAGGACACAGCACUUUUUUAAGGUAAAACACCUCGAUUUUCAAGGUAGAUCAAAAGUCUAAGAUUUCAAGCAAAACACCCUUUUUAUUUACCAAGGGUAAAUAAAAAGCAGUGAUCCAGUUCAGGACACCGCACUUUUUAAGGUAAAACACCCUGAUUUUCUAGGUAGUUAAAAAAAGUAAAAAAUAUCAAGCAAAAUAACCCGAUUUUCAAGGACAAAUAGAAAAGUAGAAAAUAUUGCUAAAAUGACCGGUUUUCAAGGGUAAAUAAAAAGCAGUGAUCCCCUUGAGGACACAGCACUUUUUUUAAGGUAAAAAGGUAGUUAAAAAAACAUCAAAUAAUCAUAAAAACACCCCGACUUUCACGGGUAAACAGAAAAGCAGAAAAAAUCGUGAAGACACCCCCGAUUUUAAGAUAUAGGUAUUUUAAAAUUAAAAUUUUUUAGAGAUUUUGGCAUGUUUUCUAUUGGGCCACUUGAGCACAAAAAUGAAUACGGUUUCAGGCAAGAAAAUUCACCGUUUAAAAAGAAACACUUAAAAUUCCCGAAAAUCUCUUUAAUUAUUUUUACAUAUAUUACUUAUUUAUGUUUUAAACAUUUUGAACACCACUAACACCAGAGUCUGAUGUUGGAUUUGUGGACGGCAGGCUGUCCGAGCUGCUUGACGCCGAUGUACUUGCGUCGGAAGCGGAACUUUCAUUUUCCGGUCUGAAAAAACAAAACAACCAAUAUAAAGUAAACAAUUAAUUAUCUACCGUUUUUUUAACUUACAAAUUUAGGUGUCCAACAAAUUCAUGUCCCUGGGCCGCCGUAUCAAACACCAAAUGGAUUGUUAGUGCAGGGUGUAAUGCAAUGGUUAUAUAGUUUGGAAUUACCAAACUUAGACGUUGUGGGGGUAUUCUGUACCCCACGAGUCCUCCAUUUAAUAGCGGGAACGGUACAAUGGAUAUUAUCCCAUUUCCCGCUUGCACAUCAACCCUUACAGGGGCGGAAUUAAUAAAUAAUAUACAACUCCCCACAAACACCAUAGUCUUACUGCUCUUUUGUCUACUAAUCUGCAAUUGUCUAAAUUCCUCAACGAGAUGUGUUUUUAUUCCAUACGUUUUAUCUUCCAUUUUUUUGUUAUAUAGGAAAAAAUUUUAGCGAUUUAGAUAGCAGUGACAGCCACAGAACACUAUCAGCUGCUGUUGACUCAGACAAAGGCCCAAGCCAAUAAGCACAAGCGCAUGCGUGCAAUUUGGCGGAAACAAUAAAACAGAAACGAUAAAA